CUCCGAGGUACCUGUUACCCCAGGGGAGGGGUACACCACAGUCCGUUGGUAGGGCAAGAGGCGUUGUCUGCCGUGUAUCAGAGUGCGUUGGUGAUUUAGCAAGAUGCUAGUGAGACGCACGAUAGAGUCCGCCAGGCUCCCACUGGCCCUCUUCCCUGCUAGCUGGCGUUCGCGAUGAAAGGAGUCUGCCUGCCCAGCGAAAUACAAAAAAAAAAAGAUAGUGCAAGCCAGGGAAUUGAACGUCUCGUACGUGACAGAACAUUAGGCUAAGGGUUUCGUAUAAACAAAGGUCCCAACUAGACCCUA